rnacentral:tRNA from 1 species
UUAUUGAUAGGUUAAUAUGUAAACUGGCAAAUUGUGGUUUUGUUGAUUACUCUCUUGUAUCAGUAAA